GUUUCAGGUGGAAUGAAGUUUGCUAAUCAGCUGACCUUAAACGAAGGAGAUUAUGCUGGAUUAGCCAGGUGGGCUUAAUAUAGAUGCCAGGCUCCUGAGAAGGGGAAGAAGAAGGCAGAAGAGAGUCAGAGAGAUGGCAAUGGGAAGAAAUGCCCUGCUGUUGGAUGGCUUUGAGGUUGGAGGAAGGGCCCAGGAAGCAAGGCAGGUGGGCAGCUUCUAGAAGCCAGAAAGGACAAGGAAGUGGAUCCUUCUCAAGAGCCUCCAGAAAGGCAGGCUGCUCUGUCGACACCUUGACUUCAGCCCCGUGAGACCCAUCUCAGACUUCUGAACGACAGCACUGUGAGCAAACAGGUCCUGCUGUGCCGCACUUGAGACCUGUGCUAUUGUGGCUGUUAAAAGGAAGCCAGACCCACUAUCCAUCACUACCAUGAGGUGUGACUGCAGGUCUGGAGCCCAGAAAUCUGAAAUCAAGGUGUUGACAGGCUUGGCUCCUACUGGACUCUCUGAGGGUGAAUCUGUUCCAUUCUCCUCCCCCCGUUUCUGGUGGCGGCUGCGAAUCGGUGGACUUUGGCUUGUAGAUGCAUCACUCAAAUAUCAGCCUCCGUCUUCACAUGGCCUUCUCCCCGCUGUCUCUGUGUUCAGAUUGCCCUCUUCUUAUAAGGACAACAGUCAUAUUGGAUUACGGGCCCACCCUACUCUCGUUUGACUUCAUCUUAAUUUAACUAAUUACAUUUUUAAUGACACUACAUCCAAAUAAGGCCACAUUCUGAGACCCCAGAGGUUAAGACUUCCACAUAUCAUUUUUGGGGGAUACAAUUCAACCCACAAGAAUGUCUAAGUGCUGAACGUUUGUCCAGGGGAUCUCCCGCCUGAAAUGUCCCCAAACAGCCAAGCCUUAGUUCCAAAGUCACGUUUUGUUGCUUCCAACACAACUUUUAUAUUCUGCAGUGCUUUUAUUUUUCUGAUUCCUUUAGUGGGAAAACUGUGGAAAGGAUUUCUCAGCAAAGAUUUAAUAAUGGGCAUUCAAUUUGGUGGUGGUUUUUACACUCAGAGGAGAAAGCACUGAUCUUGUAACACAAGCAUUCAUUUUUAAUAAAAAGAUCUGUGGAUUUAAAGCUCAAUGAUUAUCGCCUGAGGAGAUAUGAUGGCCUCCAGUUAAUUCCUUUAGGUUGGUGAGACAUCUCCUACAAGACCUUAAUGAGACCUUCUAUGAUUUGUUUGAUUUCUUUCCUCUGUAGAUUAUCUCUUCAAAGCAGUUUGGGUUUGUGCUUUGUAAGCAUCAGGAUUUUUGGAUCUCACACUUAAAGCUGUGACUAUUGAUCUAAAAGAUAUUUAGGUUUCAAGACACAUGGUUAUCGAGCUUUUAUAUCUGCAGAUUGCAUUUCUAGUAAGAAACAACUGAAAGAAAUGUUCUUCAUGCUUUUUUGUUGUUUUUCAGUGUGGGAGAGAUGAACAUUAACCAUUUGAUUAUAAUUAUAAAUACAUCAAAUAUGAUGCAGUUUUAAUUAUACAAGGCCAACUGAAAAUGCAAAACUUGAAUAUGCGAUUUUAAUUCAGAUAGAUGCAUAAUUACAAGGGUACUUCUCACAGGGACAAGCAUGGGGAAGUUCACUUUCACUCCCCUCUCCUCCUCUUUCCUUAAAUGCUAUUCUUGUUCAUUAAACCCCCUGGUAUCCUUGGAAA
rnacentral:lncRNA from 1 species